rnacentral:tRNA from 1 species
GGAAGUCUAGUUAAUUAAUAAUAUAGACCUGUCACGCCUAAGUAGCACCUUAUUGCGACUUCCU